AGAUGAAUCAGAGGGCACCACUGAAGCUGGUACGUUUGUGUUAGCCAUAACUUCUUUAUUAGAAGUUAAGGAAUCCUCAAAAUAAGACCAACGCCCCUCCUCUCUGAGAUUAAGCUGCUGUCCCACCAGAAAACAGUAGGCUCAGAUCCUGGGCAUGAAGAAAGGAAUUAAUCUGGUCAUCGGCGUUUUUUUUUUUCGGUGGGGGAGCGGGUAUUAACGAUCUUGCCAAAAAACUGGGAUUUUG
rnacentral:misc_RNA from 1 species